rnacentral:rRNA from 1 species
UACGUAGGGAGCAAGCGUUGUCCGGAAUCAUUGGGCGUAAAGCGCACGUAGGCGGAUCGAUCAGUCAGGGGUGAAAUCCCAGAGCUCAACUCUGGAACUGCCUUUGAUACUGUCGAUCUGGAGUAUGGAAGAGGUGAGUGGAAUUCCGAGUGUAGAGGUGAAAUUCGUAGAUAUUCGGAGGAACACCAGUGGCGAAGGCGGCUCACUGGUCCAUUACUGACGCUGAGGUGCGAAAGCGUGGGGAGCAAACAGG